GACGGAGGGUGCUAGCGUUGUUCGGAAUUACUGGGCGUAAAGGGCGCGUAGGCGGCUAGGCACGUCGGAUGUGAAAGCCCGGGGCUACCACCGGGAGGCGGGUGGAUACUGUCGACCUCGAGUCCGGAAGAGGCGAGUGGAAUUCCUGGUGUAGCGGUGAAAUGCGCAGAUAUCAGGAGGAACACCAGUGGCGAAGGCGGCUC
rnacentral:rRNA from 1 species